rnacentral:rRNA from 1 species
UACGGAGGGUGCAAGCGUUGUCCGGAUUUAUUGGGUUUAAAGGGUGCGUAGGCGGCUUUUUAAGUCAGUGGUGAAAGACAACAGCUCAACUGUUGCAGUGCCAUUGAUACUGAAGAGCUUGAGUACAGAUGAGGUAGGCGGAAUUGACGGUGUAGCGGUGAAAUGCUUAGAUAUCGUCAAGAACACCUAUAGCGAAGGCAGCUUACUAGGCUGUAACUGACGCUGAGGCACGAAAGUGUGGGGAUCAAACAGG